UGCGGGGUGGAGCAGUCUGGUUAGCUCGUCGGGCUCAUAACCCGGAGGCCGUAGGUUCAAAUCCUGCCCCCGCUACCA
rnacentral:tRNA from 1 species